rnacentral:rRNA from 1 species
AGAGUUUGAUCAUGGCUCAGGAUGAACGCUAGCGGCAGGCUUAAUACAUGCAAGUCGAGGGGCAGCGGGGGUAGCAAUACCUGCCGGCGACCGGCAAACGGGUGCGGAACACGUACACAACCUUCCUUUAAGUGGGGGAUAGCCCAGAGAAAUUUGGAUUAAUACCCCGUAAUAUUAUUGAGUGGCAUCAUUUGAUAAUUAAAGCUCCGGCGCUUAGAGAUGGGUGUGCGGCUGAUUAGGUAGUUGGUGAGGGUAACGGCCCACCAAGCCAACGAUCAGUAACUGGUGUGAGAGCACGACCAGUCACACGGGCACUGAGACACGGGCCCGACUCCUACGGGAGGCAGCAGUAAGGAAUAUUGGUCAAUGGACGCAAGUCUGAACCAGCCAUGCCGCGUGGAGGAUGAAGGUCCUCUGGAUUGUAAACUUCUUUUAUCUGGGAAGAAAUGCCAGAAUUCUUUUUGGUUUGACGGUACCAGAUGAAUAAGCACCGGCUAACUCCGUGCCAGCAGCCGCGGUAAUACGGAGGGUGCAAGCGUUAUCCGGAUUCACUGGGUUUAAAGGGUGCGUAGGUGGGCAGUUAAGUCAGUGGUGAAAUCUCCGGGCUUAACCCGGAAACUGCCAUUGAUACUAUCUGUCUUGAAUACCGUGGAGGUAAGCGGAAUAUGUCUGUAGCGGUGAAAUGCUUAGAUAUGACAUAGAACACCAAUUGCGAAGGCAGCUUACUACACGUACUAUUGACACUGAGGCACGAAAGCGUGGGGAUCAAACAGGAUUAGAUACCCUAGUAGUCC